GACGAACGCUGGCGGCGUGCUUAACACAUGCAAGUCGAACGGAAAGGCCCUGCUUUUGUGGGGUGCUCGAGUGGCAAACGGAUGAGUCACCCGUGAGUAACCGGCCCUCGGCUGUGGGCUACCUCCAGUACACUGUGGCCAGUACCGGAUAGGGGCUCCUGCUCCAUGGGGGGGGUUGGAAUGUUUUGGCGGUUUGGGAUGGGCUCGAGGCUUAUCAGUCUGUUGGUGGGGUAGUGACCUACCAAGGGAUUGACGGGUAGCCGGCCUGAGAGGGUGACCGGCCACAUUGGGAGGAAGAUGAGGCCGAGAAGACUACGGGAGGAAGCAGCGGGGAAGAAUGCACCAUGAGCGGAGGACUGAUGCAGCAGCACCGCGUGGUGGAGGUCGGACGUCGGGGGGUAAACCGCUGUCGCCUGUGAAGAAGAGGGAGUGACGGUAAUGGGUGAAGAAGCACCGGCUAACUACGUG
rnacentral:rRNA from 1 species